CCUACGGGUGGCUGCAGUGGGGAAUAUUGCACAAUGGGGGAAACCCUGAUGCAGCGACGCCGCGUGAGCGAUGAAGUAUUUCGGUAUGUAAAGCUCUAUCAGCAGGGAAGAAAAUGACGGUACCUGACUCAUAAUCCCCGGCUAACUACGUUCCAGCAGCCGCGGUAAUACGUAGGGGGCCAGCGUUAUCCGGAUUUACUGGGUGUAAAGGGAGCGUAGACGGCUGUGCAAGCCAGAUGUGAAAGCCCGGGGCUCAACCCCGGGAUUGCAUUUGGAACUGUGUGGCUGGAGUGUCGGAGAGGUAGGCGGAAUUCCUAGUGUAGCGGUGAAAUGCGUAGAUAUUACGAGGAACACCAGUGGCGAAGGCAGCCUGCUGGACGAUGACUGACGUUGAGGCUCGAAAGCGUGGGGAGCAAACAGGAUUAGAUACCCCUGUAGUC
rnacentral:rRNA from 1 species